GAUUAUCUGCGUAGGUGACCUGCGGAAGGAUCAUUC
rnacentral:rRNA from 1 species